UACGUAGGGUGCGAGCGUUGUCCGGAAUUAUUGGGCGUAAAGGGCUCGUAGGCGGUUUGUCGCGUCGGGAGUGAAAACCUCGGGCUUAACUCGGGGCUUGCUUUCGAUACGGGCAGACUAGAGGUAUGCAGGGGAGAACGGAAUUCCUGGUGUAGCGGUGGAAAUGCGCAGAUAUCAGGAGGAACACCGGUGGCGAAGGCGGUUCUCUGGGCCUUACCUGACGCUGGAGGAGCGAAAGCGUGGGGAGCAAACAGG
rnacentral:rRNA from 1 species